AACCCUCUCAUUCCAAUUCUUUAUUUAUUUAAAGGGUUGUGAUAUGGAUGUUGAGUGCUGCCGUUAUUGGCUCGCUUUAAAUAUAUAAGUACUUUUAUUGAAAAAUAAAUGGAUUUACUUGGUGUAAUAUUUAUUAUUCAUUGAGGAGUGUGGUUUAAUUACUGCAGCCAUUUGCCUUUUGAUAGAUAGCUUCCGAACCCCAAUUAUAUGAA
rnacentral:misc_RNA from 1 species